AUUGAACGCUGGCGGCAGGCCUAACACAUGCAAGUCGAACGAGUGGCGGACGGGUGAGUAAUGUCUGGGAAACUGCCCGAUGGAGGGGGAUAAAUACUGGAAACGGUAGCUAAUACCGCAUACCAUCGGAUGUGCCCAGAUGGGAUUAGCUAGUAGGUGGGGUAACGGCUCACCUAGGCAACGAUCCCUAGCUGGGCUGAGAGGAUGACCAGCCACGAGGGAAGUGAGCCACGGUCCAGACGCCUACGGGAGGCAGCAGUGGGGAAUAUUGCACAAGGGGCGCAAUCCUGAGGCAGCCAUGCCGCGUGGAUGAAGAAGGCCUUCGGGUUGUAAAGUACUUUCAGCGGGGAGGCGUUACCCGCAGAAGAAGCCCCGGCUAACUCCGUGCCAGCAGCCGCGGUAAUAC
rnacentral:rRNA from 1 species